GCUAUCAAUUUCAGUCAUCGAUGGAGCGUCGAGGUCGAUAGGUGUUCCGUUUGGUGUCACCGGUCGUGGUUCUGGUUUCGGGUUCAUUAUUCCCAUUUUUUAUCCUUGUCAUGAUUUACAAGAGAAUUUUCAAACAGUUCGUAAGUUCCUUAUUCCUUUUCAUUUUUGGAUCUGUUUUGUUUAAGUAUCGUGUUUCACUUUCUCAGUUCUAUAAUAAAUAUUUACUAUUGAUUUAAAUUAUUGUAUUUGUAUUAUGUUUGAUUCCCUAUUAGAAAUCCAAUACUAAGUUUCAAAUGAUUAGGAAGCAUAUUUGUUUUCAAAACUGAAGUUGCACUCCGUCUAGUUCGUUUAGUAGUUCAAUAGGAUUUUGUUCGGAAUCAUUGUUCUUAUUCUGAUGAUAUUUGAUCUGAUAUGAGUUUCUAGCUUGAAUUGUUGACUGAUUUUGAAAAGGGAAUUGAUUAUAGCUUAUAGAUUGAAAGGGGAUUGGGAUAGGAUAGUAAUUUCAGAAGUUUCAGGGGUAUUUUGGGAUUUUAAAAGUUUGAAAACGGUCAGUUGAAUAUUCUGUCAGUAAGCACUAAUGUGCAGGCAUUUGUUUAAAAGUAGUUGGGAACAAGGAAUAAUGAUAUAAAGAAAGGAAAAAGGGGCUGGAAAAUAAAAGAGAUGGGGGUAAUAAUAAAAAGCUAAAAGAUAUAUGUUGUAGAGGAAUAUUACAAGCUGAAACGUGAAAGAAACAUGGGGUAGUAAUGAAAGGUUUUCUUUUACAACUGCAAAGAAAAAGGGAGGGCCUGAAAAGGGUUUAAGGUUUAGGUAUAAAUGCAGAGAUCAAUAGAGACAUUAAGGGGAACCCUUGGAGAAUCAGUCUGGUCAGUUUCUUUACUCAAUUGAAGAGGAAUUUUAGAGAGUUAAAGAGUUCAAAGUUCGAACACAAAAACAGAGUGUUGAGAGUUUGAGGAUCAGUUUUCUUAAAAGCUUUUAAGGCUGAAUUCUUCUGCAUUUUGAAACCUUAAGAAUUUGAGAGAGUGCUUUAGACAAUCAGCUCACACUGUUUAGUUCAUUUCUUGAUAAAAAAUUGUUCAAAUCUUUUUGUUUCUGUUAUGUAUUUGAGUGGUCAUAGCAUUUAAAGGUGUUUGAGGCUAAUUCUAGUGAUUGAUUAGUCAUUUUGAUUGCUAAAUAAAAGCUGUAGUUUCGAGAUCAUUUGUGAUUAUAUUUGAGUUUGUUCAAGCUCAGUUGAGUCUAUUUGGGUAUUUUCUGCUGCUGUGUUAAUUUUAAAGCUGGUUUUGGGCUGUGGUCGAGUGUAUUUCUGGUUUGAAACUGGGUUUUAGUUAUUCUAAAUUCCAAGCUGCUGGUUAUCUGCUGUUGUGUUGCUGUGGUAAUUGCUGUUGCAUUGCUGCUGACUCUUUCUUCUUCUACUUGUAUUUCAACUUUCAGGUAUCUCUUAUGACCUCCUAUAAGCUCUGAUGAAUCAUGUAGUUGAUUUGAAGAAUAAAUGCAGUAACCGAUUGAAGGCGAAUCCUGAAUUUAUUGCAUUUUUGUCUAUAAAAUGGUCUGUUUGUUUAAAGUUCGAUACCAGUUGUGUAGAUGGACUGUUCUGGAUUAUUUCGGUUGUAUUAUUAGGAUUACAUACUGUAAUUAUGAUUUUCUUUAGAGAUUUAGAUAUAAUCUAAUCCUUAGCUUGCAAUAGACUAUUAAUCAACUGUAAUUAGUAUUUGUUUUCAGGUUUACUACUUUUCUGUUUAAAACUAAAAUUCAGAAAUAAUUUGAACUAGCA
rnacentral:lncRNA from 1 species